AAUACUCCAAUACUACCCGCUGAACUUAAGCAUAUCAAUAAGCGGAGGAAUAGAAACUAACAAGGAUUCCCCUAGUAACUGCGAGUGAAGCGGGAAGAGCUCAAAUUUAAAAUCUGGCAGUCUCUUGGCUGUCCGAGUUGUAAUUUAGAGAAGUGUUGCCCGCGCUGGACCGUAUACAAGUCCUCUGGAAUGGGGCGUCAUAGAGGGUGAGAAUCCCGUCUUUGAUACGGACUACCAGUGCUUUUGUGGUGCGCUCUCGAAGAGUCGAGUUGUUUGGGAAUGCAGCUCAAAAUGGGUGGUAAAUUCCAUCUAAAGCUAAAUACAGGCGAGAGACCGAUAGCGAACAAGUACCGUGAGGGAAAGAUGAAAAGGACUUUGGAAAGAGAGUUAAACAGUACGUGAAAUUGCUGAAAGGGAAACGCUUGAAGUCAGUCGCAUCGUUCAAGAAUCAGCCUUGCUUCUUUGCUUGGUGUACUUUUUGUUCGAUGGGUCAGCAUCAGUUUUGACCAUUGGAUAAGGGCUAGGGAAAUGUGGCAUCCUCGGAUGUGUUAUAGUCUCUGGUCGUAUACAGUGGUUUAGGACUGAGGAACUCAGCACGCCGCAAGGACGGGUCAUUGACUACGUUACGUGCUUAGGAUGCUGGCAUAAUGGCUUUAAUCGACCCGUCUUGAAACACGGACCAAGGAGUCUAACAUGCCUGCGAGUGUUUGGGUGGAAAACCCGAGCGCGUAAUGAAAGUGAAAGUUGAGAUCUCUGUCAUGGAGAGCAUCGACGCCCAUACCUGAUGUUUACUGACGGAUAUGCGGUAGAGCAUGUAUGUUGGGACCCGAAAGAUGGUGAACUAUGCCUGA
rnacentral:rRNA from 1 species